rnacentral:rRNA from 1 species
GAUGAACGCUGGCGGCGUGCCUAAUACAUGCAAGUCGAGCGAACGGACGAGAAGCUUGCUUCUCUGAUGUUAGCGGCGGACGGGUGAGUAACACGUGGAUAACCUACCUAUAAGACUGGGAUAACUUCGGGAAACCGGAGCUAAUACCGGAUAAUAUUUUGAACCGCAUGGUUCAAAAGUGAAAGACGGUCUUGCUGUCACUUAUAGAUGGAUCCGCGCUGCAUUAGCUAGUUGGUAAGGUAACGGCUUACCAAGGCAACGAUGCAUAGCCGACCUGAGAGGGUGAUCGGCAACACUGGAACUGAGACACGGUCCAGACUCCUACGGGAGGCAGCAGUAGGGAAUCCUCCGCAAUGGGCGAAAGCCUGACGGAGCAACGCCGCGUGAGUGAUGAAGGUCUUCGGAUCGUAAAACUCUGUUAUUAGGGAAGAACAUAUGUGUAAGUAACUGUGCACAUCUUGACGGUACCUAAUCAGAAAGCCACGGCUAACUACGUG